rnacentral:rRNA from 1 species
GACGAACGCUGGCGGCGUGCUUAACACAUGCAAGUCGAACGGUAAGGCCCUUCGGGGUACACGAGUGGCGAACGGGUGAGUAACACGUGGGUGAUCUGCCCUGCACUUCGGGAUAAGCCUGGGAAACUGGGUCUAAUACCGGAUAGGACUCCGGACUGCAUGGUCUGGGGUGGAAAGCUUUUGCGGUGUGGGAUGGGCCCGCGGCCUAUCAGCUUGUUGGUGGGGUGAUGGCCUACCAAGGCGACGACGGGUAGCCGGCCUGAGAGGGUGACCGGCCAAGCUGGGACUGGGAUACGGCCCAGACUCCUACGGGAGGCAGCAGUGGGGAAUAUUGCACAAUGGGCGCAAGCCUGAUGCAGCGACGCCGCGUGAGGGAUGACGGCCUUCGGGUUGUAAACCUCUUUCAGCACCGACGAAGCGCAAGUGACGGUAGGUGCAGAAGAAGGACCGGCCAACUACGUGCCAGCCGCCGCGGUAA